rnacentral:rRNA from 1 species
AACGUAGGUGGCGAGCGUUAUCCGGAUUUACUGGGCGUAAAGGGUGCGUAGGCGGUCGGGUAAGUCUGAUGUGAAAUCUCACAGCUUAACUGUGAAACUGCAUUGGAUACUAUCCGGCUCGAGGAAUGGAGGGGAGACUGGAAUACUUGGUGUAGCAGUGAAAUGCGUAGAUAUCAAGUGGAACACCAGUGGCGAAGGCGAGUCUCUGGACAUUUCCUGACGCUGAGGCACGAAAGCCAGGGGAGCAAACGGG